UUCACAAAAGGAAGUCAAACAAUACCACCU
rnacentral:piRNA from 1 species